rnacentral:rRNA from 1 species
GCGCGAAAACUUUACAAUGCGGGAAACCGUGAUAAGGGAACUCCGAGUGCCCGUUAAAUCGGGCUGUCCAUCUGUGUAAAUAACAGGUGAAGAAAGGGCCGGGCAAGACCGGUGCCAGCCGCCGCGGUAAUACCGGCGGCUCGAGUGGUGGCCACUAUUACUGGGCUUAAAGCGUUCGUAGCUGGUUUGUUAAGUCUCUGGGGAAAUCUUCCGGCUUAACCGGAAGGCGUCUCAGGGAUACUGGCAGACUAGGGACCGGAAGAGGUGAGGGGUACUCCAGGGGUAGGAGUGAAAUCCUGUAAUCCUUGGGGGACCACCUGUGGCGAAGGCGCCUCACCAGAACGGCUCCGACAGUGAGGGACGAAAGCUGGGGGAGCAAACCGG